GAUGAACGCUGGCGGCGUGCCUAAUACAUGCAAGUCGAGCGAACGGACGAGAAGCUUGCUUCUCUGAUGUUAGCGGCGGACGGGUGAGUAACACGUGGAUAACCUACCUAUAAGACUGGGAUAACUUCGGGAAACCGGAGCUAAUACCGGAUAAUAUUUUGAACCGCAUGGUUCAAAAGUGAAAGACGGUCUUGCUGUCACUUAUAGAUGGAUCCGCGCUGCAUUAGCUAGUUGGUAAGGUAACGGCUUACCAAGGCAACGAUGCAUAGCCGACCUGAGAGGGUGUACGGCCACACUGGGACUGAGACACGGUCCAGACUCCUACGGACGGCAGAGAUAGGGAAUCGUCCGCGAUGGGCGGAAGCCUGACGGAGCAACGCCGCGUGGAUGAUGAGGGUCUUCGGAUCGUAAAACUCUGUUAUUAGGGAAGAACAUAUGUGUAAGUGACUGUGCACAUCUUGACGGUACCUAAUCAGAAAGCCACGGCUAACUACGUG
rnacentral:rRNA from 1 species